rnacentral:tRNA from 1 species
GCCAGUGUGGCAUAGUGGUUUGAGAGCUGGACUAUGACUCUGGAGACCAGGGUUCGAUUCCCUGCACACCUA